rnacentral:rRNA from 1 species
GACGAACGCUGGCGGCGUGCCUAAUACAUGCAAGUAGAACGCACAGUUUAUACCGUAGCUUGCUACACCAUAAACUGUGAGUUGCGAACGGGUGAGUAACGCGUAGGUAACCUGCCUGGGAGCGGGGGAUAACUAUUGGAAACGAUAGCUAAUACCGCAUAAUAUUGAUUAUUGCAUGAUAAUUGAUUGAAAGAUGCUAUUGCAUCACUACCAGGUGGACCUGCGUUGUAUUAGCUAGUAGGUGAGGUAACGGCUCACCUAGGCGACGAUACAUAGCCGACCUGAGAGGGUGAUCGGCCACACUGGGACUGAGACACGGCCCAGACUCCUACGGGAGGCAGCAGUAGGGAAUCUUCGGCAAUGGACGAAAGUCUGACCGAGCAACGCCGCGUGAGUGAAGAAGGUUUUCGGAUCGUAAAGCUCUGUUGUAAGAGAAGAACGGGUGUGAGAGUGGAAAGUUCACACUGUGACGGUAUCUUACCAGAAAGGGACGGCUAACUACGUG